AUUGAACGCUGGCGGCAGGCCUAACACAUGCAAGUCGAGCGGAUGAGUGGAGCUUGCUCCAUGAUUCAGCGGCGGACGGGUGAGUAAUGCCUAGGAGUCUGCCUGGUAGUGGGGGACAACGUUUCGAAAGGAACGCUAAUACCGCAUACGUCCUACGGGAGAAAGUGGGGGAUCUUCGGACCUCACGCUAUCAGAUGAGCCUAGGUCGGAUUAGCUAGUUGGUGAGGUAAAGGCUCACCAAGGCGACGAUCCGUAACUGGUCUGAGAGGAUGAUCAGUCACACUGGAACUGAGACACGGUCCAGACUCCUACGGGAGGCAGCAGUGGGGAAUAUUGGACAAUGGGCGAAAGCCUGAUCCAGCCAUGCCGCGUGUGUGAAGAAGGCCUUCGGAUUGUAAAGCACUUUAAGUUGGGAGGAGGGGCAGUAAGUUAAUACCUUGCUGGUUUGACGUUACCAACAGAAUAAGCACCGGCUAACUUCGUGCCAGCCGCCGCCGUAAAAC
rnacentral:rRNA from 1 species